ACUGUGAUCACCGUCCAUGGCCGCCUGCGGAUACCCACGCCGUGCUCAGAAGAGGGCUCUGAGGCCACGCCCGCCUGUGGGGUCGGUGGCCGGGCUUCCGGGACCCCAGAGGGAGUCGUCGCGCGCUAGGUGGAGGGGACCCCUCUGGAAUCCGGCGAUCCCCGGGCGCAGAUGCAGGAGCGGAACAAUUUCGGACCUCCUGGGGUCUAUGCUAGGUAUGAGGUGUAUCUUUGCCCUCCAUCAAGUAGCAAAGAUGGACAUGUAAACAAAUUUCGACACUGUGAUGACUGCCACAAAAAGCAGCAUUAUGAGGUUGAAUGUAAAAGGAUAACCUUAGCGGCGGCGGGGGCCGGAGGAUGAAGGAAGGCUUCCUGAGGUAGGCGCUGGUUGAAACUGAAGUUGGAGAGAGCAAGUGGCAUUUGCUGAAGUGCAUUUCCGGUAGAAAACUCCAGUGGUCCCUCACCUGACUGAGUGGCGCAGUCAGAGAUAAAUGGAACAGGUACACUGACCAGAAAGGGCAAGAUGGGCUAAACUUCGCCGUUGGGCCACUGGGCUCCCCCGCAGGAUUUUAAAGAGCUAGCCAGUAGAUGGAUUUUGUUUUUGUUAUUUUCGCAAUUUAUUUUCAAAUAUGUAAUACGCGAACUUGGUACAACAUUCAUGUGAUAAAAAGGUAGAUACGUGGGCAGGACGCGGUGGCU
rnacentral:lncRNA from 1 species